UUUUACCCUAGGUGCUCACAGCGCUUGCCCAAGUUAACAAUUAAUGUGCAUCGAUCAGAAGCACCAACAAGUGAGCUGCAGAAAAGUUUUAAGACAUACGCCUCGCUAUACAUUCACAGAUACAAAGGAGCACUGGAGCAAGUCUGCUACGGUGAGCAUCUAUUUUGACUGAGGUUCCUCAUAACUCCCAUGUGAUAAAUGACUUCUUCCAAGAUGUGCUAUGACCUACACUGACAUUUGAGGUGGACACUGACAAAUUCAACCUAUGCCCGUCUUGCACAAGCGCCUCAAUAACACCGACCCCUCCCAGCAGAUCUCCUUUUCCCAGCUGGACUUUGAGAAGAGCACCGCCCUCUCCUGUCUCGUAUCGUCUCAUCUUUCUCCUCCGAUUACUCUCUCCAUCCGUCAUCCUUCCUUUCCUCCGUCAGCUCAACAAACUGUGAAGAGAUUUACAGCUUUCAAGCAGGAACAUGGUUUACUGCACCUCUGUAUCCAGGCCAAA